UGCACCUUGAGUCGUUCGACUAAAAAAGAAUUAGGGAUUGGGAGGGGAUAAGUGAGCCACCCGCCCAGCCCGCAGCCUGUGGGAGGGAAAAUUUCGUCUCCUAGGUUUCCAGCUCGCUCUGAGCUGCCUUGCCUGGGAGUCUGGUAAGAGGCGUCACCUGCACCCAUUAUCCCACCGGCGCUGCCACCCACCACCGCCUCUCCGCCACUGCGCUCUGGCCCUUUCCCUCCAUUGCUCCUGCUCUCCCUGCAUCUGCUGGCUACUGGAUCCACUCAUCCGCCAGGUUGCAGCAAGCAAGCAAGCAUAACCCUUAGGUCUGAACUGCAAAGUCUACGCCAUUGGAGAUAUCUCCUUCAAGAAGCCAACUAGGAGCAAGGAUCCAGCAAGGAAAUAUGCUUAUUGGCCUGAUCUGACAAGCAAAGACGACAAUCAUGGACAUCCCUGACAAAAGCUCUUUGGACAUGGACAAAACUACCAGUGUGUUCAGCAAUCAAAUCUUGAUGGGAACGAGCAUGGAUCCAACUUGUGCGUUCAGCAAUCAAAUCUUGAUGGGAACGAGCAUGGAUCCAACUUGUGCGUUCAGCAAUCAAAUCUUGAUGGGAACGAGCAUGGAUCCAACUUGUGCGCUCUCCGGAGCAACAACUCCUCCAGAUGGACUCUCUGAUGCGGAGCAUCCCAAGUCCUACCAAGUGCCAAGUAGACUCAUGACACGAGCACGUGCAAGAGCUCUCGAAUCAGAGGUGACAUCACUCCUCUUGCAACUCCCUUUUGAAUCAUAUGAGACAUGGCUACUACCUCAAACAGAGACACUUUGCAUACUUAGGUACCAAGGAGUUAGCCAUGGAGAAGCUAAGGAGCAAGGGGGAUCGGAAGAGGAGGACAUACGCGAAGACGGAGAAGAGAAAGGGCAAGACAACAAAAGCCCGGAUGAUUCGGACCGCCAUUCGGACGAUUCGGCCGCAGCCCGGACGAUCCGAACCACGGCCCGCACAAUCCGACUAUAGCGUCCUCGACCACAGCAGGCCUCUCCGCGAAGCCGGAUCAUCCAGAUGGAGUCCCGGAUCAUCCGGACCCAGCCGGACCUCCGGACUCCACUUCGGACAUCCGGGCCGCCGCCUACCUCCUCGCCAUGUCUGGACCAUCCAGACCAUCUCCCGGAUCAUCCGGGUCCCUGAAGCCCGGAUUGUCCGGCUCCCCUUCCGGAUCAUCCGGACCCCCGCAUGUGCGCGCGUGUUAGGCCGAGGCCCACAUACCCUUUCGUCCCCUUAGCCUAUAUAUACGACUCCUCCACUUUUCUAGGGUUAGCAAUGUGAUAGCUCAUUUUAGAGAUAGAGCUUUGCUCAUCCACUUGAUACUUUCUCCUUCGGAGACCGCAGGAGAAGAUCCCCCAAGUGGAUUCAAGAUCCCUCAUGGGAAGACCCCUCAAGACCUCCUCACGGAGAAGAACUACCGCCUCUUAUGGACUCCCUCAUGUGGAGCAUUCUAAGGUCAUCCCCAUAGACCUAUCAUCAUCUCACCAAGUGCCAAGUGGACCCAUGACACGAGCACGUGCAAGAGCUCUCAAAACCGAGGUGACAUCACUUCUCUUGCAACUCCCUUUUCAUAUGAGACAUGGCUACUACCUCAAACAAAGACAUUUUGCAUACUCAGGUACCAAGGAGUUAGCCAUGGAGAAGCUAAGGAGCAAGGAGGAUCGAAAGAGGAGGACAUACGCAAAGACGGAGAAGAGAAAGGGCAAGACAGCAAAAGCCCGGAUGAUCCAGACCGUCGUCCGGACGAUCCAACCCCAGCCUGGAUGAUCCGGACCAUGGCGCGGACAAUCCGACUACAACGCCCUCGACCACAGCAGGCCUCUUCGCGAAGUCGGAUCAUCCGGACCUAGUCGGAUGUCUGGACCCCACUCCGGACAUCCGGGCCGCCGCUUGCCUCCUCGGCACGUCCGGACCAUCCAGACCAUCUCCCGGAUCAUCCGGGUCCCUGAAGCCCGGAUCGUCCGGCUCCCCUUCCGGAUCAUUCGGACCCCCGCCUGUGCGUGUGUGUUGGGCCGAGGCCAAUGUACCCUUUUGUCCCCUUAGCCUAUAUAUAUGACUCCUCCACUUUUCUAGGGUUAGCAAUGUGAUAGCUCAUUUUGGAGAUAGAGCUUUGCUCAUCCACUUGAUACUUUCUCCUUCGGAGACCGCGACCUUUAUGGAGAAGAUCCCCCAAGUGGAUUCAAGACCCCUCACGGGAAGACCCCUCAAGACCUCCUCAUGGAGAAGAACUACCGCCUCUUGUAUCGUCCUUUGUUGCAUUUGGAUAUUUUAUCAUUCUUUAUGUUCGUGGAUCUAGCACAUGUGUGAUCGUUUCUCGUUGAUUUGAGUAUUUCCCACCUCGUGUUUCACCUCGUGUUAUUGGUGUUCUUCAUAGGAUCCCCUCCAAAUCGUGAAAGAUCGGCCUUAGGGUUUCUUUGUUCGCUAUACCUUUUCCCCUGGCCUCUCCUGUGUUUCAUACAAAAUCUAUUGCAUGCCAGAUGGACUCCCACUAAAGAAGAGAUGUGUAGAUGGAUAGAUA